GGGGUCGUGAGUCAGUGGUAGAGCACUCACCUAGCAUGUGCAAGGGGCUGGGUUCGAUCCUCAGCACCUCG
rnacentral:tRNA from 1 species